AUUGAACGCUGGCGGAAUGCUUUACACAUGCAAGUCGAACGGCAGCACGGGGGCAACCCUGGUGGCGAGUGGCGAACGGGUGAGUAAUACAUCGGAACGUGCCCAGUCGUGGGGGAUAACGUAGCGAAAGUUACGCUAAUACCGCAUACGAUCUACGGAUGAAAGCGGGGGACCGUAAGGCCUCGCGCGAUUGGAGCGGCCGAUGUCAGAUUAGGUAGUUGGUGAGGUAAAGGCUCACCAAGCCGACGAUCUGUAGCUGGUCUGAGAGGACGGCCAUCCACACUGGGACUGAGACACGGCCCAGACUCCUACGGGAGGCAGAAGUGGGGAAUUUUGGACAAUGGUCUCAAGCCUGAUCCAUCCAUUCCUCGUGCAGGACGAAGGCCUUCGGGUUGUAAACUGCUUUUGUACGGAACGAAAAGGCUCUGGUUAAUACCUGGGGCUCAUGACGGUACCGUAAGAAUAAGCACCGGCUAACUACGUGCCAGCAGCCGCAGUAA
rnacentral:rRNA from 1 species